GCAAGUCGAGCGCGCCCUUCGGGGUGAGUGGUGGACGGGUUAGUAACGCGUGGGAACGUACCCAGAUCUGCGGAUUAGCUAUUGGAAACGAUGAGUAAUACCGCAUACGCCCUUCGGGGGAAAGAUUUAUCGGAUUUGGAUCGGCCCGCGUUAGAUUAGAUAGUUGGUGGGGUAAUGGCCUACCAAGUCUACGAUCUCUAGCUGGUUUUAGAGGAUGAUC
rnacentral:rRNA from 1 species